GCAUGGGGCGGGGUUGGGCAGUUUCCUGUCGGGGAGGUACUGAGAGCCAGAUGCUGGCCACCACCUUCUCAGGGUGGCUGAGCUGGGGCUCGAGACAGAACUUGGCAAACACUGACCGUGGUUCUGGGACUGGCGGAGGCUGGGGCAAGCCCAGCCCGGGCUUCACAGCAGCCGUCACUGCUUGCGAGGUGCUCCUGGGCAGAUGAGAAAACGUGCUCCUUGCAGAACUCCUCUUAUGCCAACAUACAUGGCUCAGCGGUGGAGUCACGUUGGAUUUUGGCCCCAAUUCCGGUGCUAGCACUUUGUGCAGUGCACAAGCUAUACACCCAUAUGUGGCAACCCUGACCGGCAGGGGUGACUUGGCUAGCAAGGCGGAGCAGACAGACUCCAGCCUGAAAGCAGGCAAGGUGGUCGUUCACAGCGGACUCUCUCUGUCCCCACAGCAACAGCAUGAUAAGAGCUGCCAUUUAUUAGGCAUUUAGUCUGUGUGAAGCCCUGGGUUGAGUUAGCUCAUGUUUUCUUCGUGACCGAGUAGGUGCCAGUGUUAUCUUUACUUUAGGGACGAGCGCACAGGCUCUGAGAGGUUCAGUCAUUUGCUUAAGGCUGUACACAUCAUAAGGCUUCAUCCUGGGUCUGUUGGCUCUUGGGGCUGUGUCAGAAGAAGGGUGUCUCACAUGGCUAUUGUUAGGGGGCGUCCCGGAGUCCUGUUCGGGCCCAGGGCAUUGAGGAUUCUGUUUGUUAGGUCUGCGGUGGGAUCUCAGCAGCCAGAUAUGCCCCAUACCCUGUUCAGAACCACUGGGCGUCCAGAGCACGUGGAAAUUCAGGCACACGGAAACCCAGCCCUCUCUGGGACACUGUAGGUGACACUGCUGACCUUUAGGUCCCCAAGAGCAGAAAUCAUGACACCUGGAAGUGCAAAAGGAGAUCAGGAAGGUGCCAGAACUUCUGUGGUAUCGCUCCCCCUCCCAUACGCAGAGUAUGGUCGGCGGGGAAGGACGUGAGGUUGGCAUGACCCACAUGGGCACCCGGCCAUCCUGGCUACCCCGGCCAGACAAGCGACCUUGCAUAGGCUAGAGAAUAUGACUUGUCCUGGACUCCUCCAGAAAAUGGUGGGGGGAUGCUGCUGGCUCCUCCUACCCUGGCCGCGGCCAUCAGUUUGGUCCUGGGAAGGCUGGUGGCAGCUUCAAAGCUGGUGGCCAACAUCUGGGGCUCUUGAAGCCUGCAGCUCACAUUCCUUAAAGGAGAAGGUGGGAGUGGACCGGGGGCAGAUUCUGGGGCUACCAGGCCCGUCACUCUCCCCACAGGCCCCUCCUUCAGACAACAGAGAGUUUACCGCAUCCCUGUCCUAGACGGUGGCCGCAGGCUCUCAGACGGGCACUCCCUUCUGGCAGAAGCUGCUGUUAGCUUUGCCACACUCCCCACAGAGGCACCGCAGUUUGGAGAGGUGCUUAGGAGGGGCGAGCUACGGCCUUGAAUCGUUUCAAGGCUGCACUCGCCAGUCUUCUUUGCUGUAUUAUUCUCCAGAACAAGCUCCUCCCUGUGGCCUGCAUGAAAACUCGGUGGCUGUUUCUCCACUGUCAGAAAAGGCCCUCCCAAGGUCCCUACCUAGGAUGAGCACAGUGAUGCU
rnacentral:lncRNA from 10 species